GAUGAACGCUGGCGGCGUGCCUAAUACAUGCAAGUAGAACGCUGAAGCUUGGUGCUUGCACCGAGCGGAUGAGUUGCGAACGGGUGAGUAACGCGUAGGUAACCUGCCUCUUAGCGGGGGAUAACUAUUGGAAACGAUAGCUAAUACCGCAUAAAAGUUGACAUUGCAUGAUGUUGAUUUGAAAGAUGCAAUUGCAUCACUAAGAGAUGGACCUGCGUUGUAUUAGCUAGUUGGUGAAGUAACGGCUCACCAAGGCGACGAUACAUAGCCGACCUGAGAGGGUGAUCGGCCACACUGGGACUGAGACACGGCCCAGACUCCUACGGGAGGCAGCAGUAGGGAAUCUUCGGCAAUGGGGGCAACCCUGACCGAGCAACGCCGCGUGAGUGAAGAAGGUUUUCGGAUCGUAAAGCUCUGUUGUAAGAGAAGAACGAGUGUGAGAGUGGAAAGUUCACACUGUGACGGUAACUUACCAGAAAGGGACGGCUAACUACGUGCCAGCAGCCGCGGUAAUACGUAGGUCCCGAGCGUUAUCCGGAUUUAUUGGGCGUAAAGCGAGCGCAGGCGGUUAGAUAAGUCUGAAGUUAAAGGCUGUGGCUUAACCAUAGUACGCUUUGGAAACUGUUUAACUUGAGUGCAGAAGGGGAGAGUGGAAUUCCAUGUGUAGCGGUGAAAUGCGUAGAUAUAUGGAGGAACACCCGGUGGCGAAAGCGGCUCUCUGGUCUGUAACUGACGCUGAGGCUCGUAAGCGUGC
rnacentral:rRNA from 1 species